GAAUCCAGUAAGUUGCACUAAAAAGUUCCUGAAGUAUAAACACCACAAAUCUGGUGCCAGCAUUGUUCUGUCACGAGGAAAUGGCUUAACUUCUGUUGCUCUGUCAGUAGAAAGCUGGGAACUAAGAUUUCAGCAUGGUGGAAGAAAACUCAGACUCUCUUGGCUGGGUAAUUAUGGUGCAGGAGCAUAAAGGCCAACGAGUCUUUACUGGAAGCCAUGAUGGUUACGGGAGAUAAUGAGAAGAGAUUUGAAUGCCAGUAUCUUAGUGGUGGGAUGUUGACAGUGGGUCCAGAAUACUCGUUGAUAAGAUCUCCUCAAGCGAACUACGGAGUACUUGUC